rnacentral:rRNA from 1 species
UACGGGGGGGGCAAGCGUUGUUCGGAAUUACUGGGCGUAAAGGGCUCGUAGGCGGCCAACUAAGUCCGACGUGAAAUCCCCAGGCUUAACCUGGGAACUGCGUCGGAUACUGGAUGGCUUGAAUCCGGGAGAGGGAUGCGGAAUUCCAGGUGUAGCGGUGAAAUGCGUAGAUAUCUGCAGGAACACCCGUGGCGAAAGCGGCGCGCUGGACCACUACUGACGCUGAGGAACGAAAGCUAGGGGAGCAAACAGG